rnacentral:rRNA from 1 species
CAGAGGUCUCAACCGUUGUUCGGAUUCAUUGGGCGUAAAGGGUGCGUAGGCGGUCGCGUAAGUCAGGUGUGAAAUCUCAGGGCUCAACCCUGAAACUGCACUUGAUACUGCGUGGCUCGGGUACUGGAGAGGAGACUGGAAUUUACGGUGUAGCAGUGAAAUGCGUAGAUAUCGUAAGGAAGACCAGUGGCGAAGGCGAGUCUCUGGACAGUUACCGACGCUGAGGCACGAAGGUCAGGGGAGCAAACGGGAUUAGAUACCCCGGUAGUCCUGACAGUAAACGGUGCACGUUUGGUGUAGGCGGAUUCGACCCCGUCUGUGCCGGAGCUAACGCGUUAAACGUGCCGCCUGGGAAGUACGGUCGCAAGAUUA